UCAACAUUCCCAGCAUCAAUUUGUUCAGUUUGCACUUUGUUCUGCCAGCGUUUUUGACAAAUUUUGAAGUAUUUUCAAGCUUUUUUCUUGUUUUCAACAAUUAAUUUGUGAUUUUAUUCAUUGGAGUUCUUGCAGUUGUUUCUCAUUCAACUCCACAUCAAAGUUUUGCCCACGGUUUGGAAUCUCCAAAAAUAUUUCUCUGCUCUAAUUCGGCAACAGCGGAAGAUCAACCAUGAGUAAAAUUGCUGUUUUCGCAAUUGGUGUUUUUGUUGCGAGUCUUAUAGGCGUUCAAGCAGAUGUUCCAUCUACAACUACUUCGAAGGUUGGGAUAAACGAUUCCAGCUUUAAUGAAGUGGUGGGCGAAGUGAAGAAGUGUCCUAUUACCUUCUUUUAUGGUAACAAAAAGUGCAUGGUAGCGUGUGCGACGUAUUGCGCAGUGAAAUCGUGCGGCUUAUUCAAGAAAUGCGAAAAAAUAGAGGGUACAAAAACCUCGUCGCAAGGGAGUAAAUACAAGUGCUUCUGCCAGGGAACAGACCCGAAAUUGAAAAUGACGAAAGCAGAAUUGGAAGAGACUUUGAAAAGUUUGGCAAGUCUGCAAGAAGCAUUACGCUCCGGGAACCAGUAAAUUCUAAGCUGAUUUAUAAUAGGUACACUUCCACGGUAGAAAAAAUUUCGAAGAAUUUGGAAAACGAAAUUAAUAAAAAUUUCAAAUAAGAAA